rnacentral:rRNA from 1 species
GACGAACGCUGGCGGCGCGCUUAACACAUGCAAGUCGAGCGAAGCGGUGGACGGGUGAGUAACACGUGAGUAACCUGCCUUAGACCUUGGGAUAGCCUCGGGAAACCGGGAUUAAUACCAAAUGGUCUAAGAUGGACUCGCGUCCCAUUAGCUAGUUGGUGGGUAACGGCCCACCAAGGCGACGAUGGGUAGCCGGGCUGGGAGGGUGAACGGCCACAUUGGAACUGAGAGACGGUCCAAAGUCUACGGAGGGCAGCAGUGGGGAAGAUUACACGAUGGAGGGAACUCUAAUGCAGCGGCGCCGCGUGGACCGAGAAGGCUUUCGAGUCGUAAAGUUCUUUUAUAUGGGAAGCGGUACCAUAAGAAAAAGCCCCGGCUAACUACGUGCCAGCAGCCGCGGUAAUUC